rnacentral:rRNA from 1 species
AGUGAACGCUGGCGGUAGGCCUAACACAUGCAGGUCGAACGGCAGCACAGUAAGAGCUUGCUCUUACGGGUGGCGAGUGGCGGACGGGUGAGGAAUACAUCGGAAUCUACUUUUUCGUGGGGGAUAACGUAGGGAAACUUACGCUAAUACCGCAUACGACCUACGGGUGAAAGCAGGGGAUCUUCGGACCUUGCGCGAUUGAAUGAGCCGAUGCCGGAUUAGCUAGUUGGCGGGGUAAAGGCCCACCAAGGCGACGAUCCGUAGCUGGUCUGAGAGGAUGAUCAGCCACACUGGAACUGAGACACGGUCCAGACUCCUACGGGAGGCAGCAGUGGGGAAUAUUGGACAAUGGGCGCAAGCCUGAUCCAGCCAUACCGCGUGGGUGAAGAAGGCCUUCGGGUUGUAAAGCCCUUUUGUUGGGAAAGAAAAGCAGCAGGUUAAUACCCCGCUGUUCUGACGGUACCCAAAGAAUAAGCACCGGCUAACUUCGUG